rnacentral:rRNA from 1 species
GACGAACGCUGGCGGCGUGCUUAACACAUGCCAGUCGAACGGAAAGGCCCUGCUUUUGUGGGGUGCUCGAGUGGCGAACGGGUGAGUAACACGUGAGUAACCUGCCCUUGACUUUGGGAGAACUUCAGGAAACUGGGGCUAAUACCGGAUAGGAGCUCCUGCUGCAUGGUGGGGGUUGGAUAGUUUCGGCGGUUGGGGAUGGACUCGCGGCUUAUCAGCUUGUUGGUGGGGUAGUGGCUUACCAAGGCUUUGACGGGUAGCCGGCCUGAGAGGGUGACCGGCCACAUUGGGACUGGACUGCGGCCCAGACUCGUACGGGAGGCAGCGGUGGGGAAUAUUACACAAUGGGCGGAAGCCUGAUGCAGCAACGCCGCGUGCGGGAUGACGGCCUGCGGGUUGUAAACCGCUUUCGCCUGUGACGAAGCGUGAGUGACGGUAAUGGGUAAAGAAGCACCGGCUAACUACGUG